rnacentral:rRNA from 1 species
GCCUAAUACAUGCAAGUAGAACGCUGAAGGAAAGAGCUUGCUCUUUUUGGAUGAGUUGCGAACGGGUGAGUAACGCGUAGGUAACCUGCCUUGUAGCGGGGGAUAACUAUUGGAAACGAUAGCUAAUACCGCAUAACAAUGACUGACACAUGUUAGUGAUUUAAAAGGGGCAACUGCUCCACUACAAGAUGGACCUGCGUUGUAUUAGCUAGUUGGUGAGGUAACGGCUCACCAAGGCGACGAUACAUAGCCGACCUGAGAGGGUGAUCGGCCACACUGGGACUGAGACACGGCCCAGACUCCUACGGGAGGCAGCAGUAGGGAAUCUUCGGCAAUGGGGGCAACCCUGACCGAGCAACGCCGCGUGAGUGAAGAAGGUUUUCGGAUCGUAAAGCUCUGUUGUAAGAGAAGAACGGGUGUGAGAGUGGAAAGUUCACACUGUGACGGUAUCUUACCAGAAAGGGACGGCUAACUACGUGCCA